CCGAGUCUGGUCAUGAGAGAAAGUAUCAGGCAAAUCCCAACUAAGCAAGAUUCUACAAAAUGCUGACCAAUGCUCCCCCAAACUGUCAAGGUCAUCUAAAUCAAGGAAAGUCUAAGGAACUGUCACAGCCAAGAGGAGAAAAGGAGACAUGAUGACUAAAUAGAAUGUGGAAUUUUGAAAGGGAUUAAGGAAUAGAACAUUGUCUUAAAAGGAAGAAAAUCUAAAAAACAUUAUGAACUUGAAUUAAUAAUAAUUUGUCAAUAUUGGCCACUGCUUCUUAACAUCAACACAAGACAAGAUAGACCAUUUACAGAGAUAUCUGAGGCACUAAGAUACCAACUCAUGUAUGAUCCUUCCUCUGACCUUCUCUAUGCCCCAGGUGUCGACCACAGCGGACUGAACCGCCCAGGUUCCCUUCUUGGCUGGCUUCUAGUUGAGAUGGCUAAUGAAAAGCACUAGCAGGAGAUCAAAAGGCAGAAGGAGUGAGAUCCUGUGUUGUGGUGUUUUUCUCUCACUUCCUCAUCGCUUUGGUGCUGUGUCUCUUGCAAGAGCUGUG